rnacentral:rRNA from 1 species
GACGAACGCUGGCGGCGUGCUUAACACAUGCAAGUCGAACGGAAAGGCCCUGCUUUUGUGGGGUGCUCGAGUGGCGAACGGGUGAGUAACACGUGAGUAACCUGCCCUUGACUUUGGGAUAACUUCAGGAAACUGGGGCUAAUACCGGAUAGGAGCUCCUGCUGCAUGGUGGGGGUUGGAAAGUUUCGGCGGUUGGGGAUGGACUCGCGGCUUAUCAGCUUGUUGGUGGGGUAGUGGCUUACCAAGGCUUUGACGGGUAGCCGGCCUGAGAGGGUGACCGGCCACAUUGGGACUGAGAUACGGCACAGACUCCUACGGGAGGCAGCAGUGGGGAAUAUUGCACAAUGGGCGGAAGCCUGAUGCAGCAACGCAGCGUGCGGGAUGACGGCAUUCGGGUUGUAAACCGCAUUCGCCUGUGACGAAGCGUGAGUGACGGUAAUGGGUAAAGAAGCACCGGCUAACUACGUG